GCUAUGGUAGCCUAGUGGUUAGAGCGUCUGCCUCCGAUACGGGAGGUCGUGGGUUCGAACUUCGGCCGAGUCAUACCA